GUGCCAGCAGCUGCGGUAAUACGGAGGGGGCUAGCGUUGUUCGGAAUUACUGGGCGUAAAGCGCGCGCAGGCGGAUUAUUAAGUCGGGGGUGAAAUCCCGGGGCUCAACCCCGGAACUGCCUUCGAUACUGGUAGUCUAGAGUUCUGGAGAGGUGAGUGGAAUUCCGAGUGUAGAGGUGAAAUUCGUAGAUAUUCGGAGGAACACCAGUGGCGAAGGCGACUCACUGGCCAGAUACUGACGCUGAGGUGCGAAAGCGUGGGAGCAAACAGGAUUAGAUACCCUGGUAGUCCACGCCGUAAACGAUGAAUGCCAGUCGUCGGAAAGCAUGCUUUCGGUGACACACCUAACGGAUUAAGCAUUCGCCUGGGAGUACGGUCGCAAGAUUAAACUCAAAGGAAUU
rnacentral:rRNA from 1 species